UACGUAGGGACCGAGCGUUGUCCGGAAUUAUUGGGCGUAAAGAGCUCGUAGGCGGUUUGUCACGUCGGAUGUGAAAACCCGAGGCUUAACCUCGGGCCUGCAUUCGAUACGGGCUGACUAGAGUUCGGUAGGGGAGACUGGAAUUCCUGGUGUAGCGGUGAAAUGCGCAGAUAUCAGGAGGAACACCGGUGGCGAAGGCGGGUCUCUGGGCCGAUACUGACGCUGAGGAGCGAAAGCGUGGGGAGCGAACAGG
rnacentral:rRNA from 1 species